GAUCCUGGCUCAGGAUGAACGCUGGCGGCGUGCCUAACACAUGCAAGUCGAACGAAGCUUGACGGAUGAUUUCUUCGGAAUGAAACCAGAUAUGACUUAGUGGCGGACGGGUGAGUAACACGUGAGCAACCUGCCUUUCAGAGGGGGAGUAACGGCUGGAAACGGUCGCUAAUACCGCAUGAUGUGUUCGGAUGGCAUCAUCUGAACAUCAAAGAUUUAUCGCUGAAAG
rnacentral:rRNA from 1 species